AGCAUACCGGCUCAGAUGUCACCCGGGUUAACAAGGUCUGUGUCUGAGUUAGGCAGAGGCUCAUAUUCGGAAAGUUCACUACAAUCUCCCUUGGCCACUGGUGGCAAAAGCAGCACCAACCCGAGUCUGGCUACUGCAAUACACAUACCCACAGUAGGGAACGAGUCACCACAUCAGAGCCCAACCAGUCAAAGUGAAUCCCAGGCAACUCAGCUAGAUACCACCAAGGCUAGAAAACCACACCAAUGCAUGAAAUGGACAACAGACAUGAACGAAUUCAUCAUGCAUAAAAUUACACAAUUACAAAAUUAGAAACCGACAUUACAGGAUACAGAAGGGAACUCUCUC
rnacentral:lncRNA from 1 species